CUACGUGCCAGCAGCCGCGGUAAUACGUAGGGUGCGGGCGUUAAUCGGAAUUACUGGGCGUAAAGCGAGCGCAGACGGUUACUUAAGCAGGAUGUGAAAUCCCCGGGCUCAACCUGGGAACUGCGUUCUGAACUGGGUGACUAGAGUGUGUCAGAGGGAGGUAGAAUUCCACGUGUAGCAGUGAAAUGCGUAGAGAUGUGGAGGAAUACCGAUGGCGAAGGCAGCCUCCUGGGGUAACACUGACGUUCAUGCUCGAAAGCGUGGGUAGCAAACAGGAUUAGAUACCCUGGUAGUCCACGCCCUAAACGAUGUCAAUUAGCUGUUGGGCAACUUGAUUGCUUAGUAGCGUAGCUAACGCGUGAAAUUGACCGCCUGGGGAGUACGGUCGCAAGAUUAAAACUCAAAGGAAUUGACGGGGACCCGCACAAGCGGUGGAUGAUGUGGAUUAAUUCGAUGCAACGCGAAGAACCUUACCUGGUCUUGACAU
rnacentral:rRNA from 1 species